CAGAAAAACAAGCUACUUCUGCAGCAACUCAGAAGAUAUCCAAGAAGGUGUGCAAGCAUGAUGUGGUCAGUGCACCGAUAUCAAGCAUGAACAAAUGAGCAGCAUGUCUGGGACCUGUUGCAGCUCUGAAGUGGAUUUGUCUGAGAUGUAAAUUGUGCUCCAAUUUUGGCAUAACACCUGCUAUGCAAAAUUUCAAGAAAAUAAGAGAACACGGCCAUCACGGGUGAGGAUGUAUUUUAUUGUGUAUAUUUGCUCUCUAGUUUUAUGAAUUGCAAGUGCUUUAAAGUAAUUCUAAAUAUGUUGAUAUUAGGAAACAAGUUCAGAGGAAGAUGAGGUGUUGUCAGAUGAGGAAUACAUACCGGAGUCAAGAGUCAGACAGUGAAACAGACAGUUCAACUGAACUGGCAAAAAAACCAGCAACCACUGACCAAGCUAAACACCACUCAUAUACUGUAUACAGGAAGUUACAUCCAUUAAGUGUAAUGAACUUAACAGCUCAGAUGUAUCCCCAUUAACGUUACCCAAAGGCAAAGGAAAAAGAACCUUACAGUCCAGGGAAGCAGCUUGCAUGUAUGAAGAAUCUGAGUUACUUUGCCAUGAGGAAUCGUCAGAUGUUGAGACAGAUAGUGAGACUGACAGUUCUGGUGGAUGGCACCUUUUCAGAAAGGUUAAUGCAAAGCAAGGCACAGAGGUAGUUGCAUCAGGCAGAUCACUGAGUGAAGAGGCUAAUAGUGAAAAAGUUUUAACAGCAAGUAAGCUUCAAGAGGAAGGGAGUGCAACUAGCAUGGCUGAAGCAGACCAGUGUGUGCAGUCAUCAAAAAUUUCCUGUUCAGCAAAUAAGAACUACUGUUACAUCUGUGGGAAACCCCAGUCCAAAAUAGCACAACAUUUAGAAACCUAUAUGACUGAGGUUCAAGUUGGACAGGCAUUGUCACUCCCCCUACACUCAAAAGAACGUAAAGCAAUGCUGCAAAAACUCAGGAACAAGUGUAACUAUGAGCAUAACACAUCUGUUUUAGAGUGGAGAAGGGGCACUCAAAGUAAAACGGGUACCAAAAAGAGAAUGUGAUUCAAAACAGUUUGUGCAUUGCACGUACUGCAAAGGGAUGUUU